ACGGUUAUAAAUCAACAUAUUGAUUAAUAAGCAUGGAAAUCCCCUGAGUGAAACAACGAAUUGCUGUGUGUAGUCUUUGCCCAUCUCCCACGAUGGGCUUUUUUUUAA
rnacentral:other from 1 species